UCAUCGUGAUACGAGACAUCAAAUUAUUUCACGUGUAUAGUACGGCGGUUUACUUUACGAGCUAGGGAUAGACUUUUCCCUAGUGAGGGAAAUGGCACAUUCCCACCCUAGUAAAGUAAAAAAAAUUCCAUAUUUUCCAUUUUUGU